CAGUUGGCAAGUGGGUCAGGGGAGCUGCAGUGAAGGACUUGACCUCCUUCCUCCAGUGGCACAGUCCCUCCCUGGGAGGACAGGGAGAGCCCUCUGUGCUCAGGCGCAGACCCUAGAGGUGCACAUGCCUUCUUCCAAAAGCAAGCCAAGCACCGAAAAUCACACACAGCCUUCAGCACUUUCAUUAGGUGGUGGGAGCUGGGCAGUGUCCAGGCGCACCUGGCUCACAGGUGCGCUUCCUCUCCUGACCAGCAGGAGAGGAAGCAGGGCUUGGGCCAGAACAGCCUUAUUUAUGCUGGUUUGACUUUCCAGCUCUAGAAUGUUUCCAGUGUCAACGAGUCAGCGCCAGUGGGGUUUGUGAGAGCGGGAAAAGCUUCUGCCAGACUCAAGGCAGCCAGCAGUGCUUUCUGAGGAAGGUCUAUGAAGGUGACACCGUUUCCUAUGGACACCAGGGUUGUAGCAGCCUAUGCGUUCCUAUGAAAUUCUUUAGACCCAACGUUACUGUGGAUUUUAGAUGCUGCCAUGACUCACCUUUCUGCAACAAGUUCUAAGGACAGGGUUCAGCUUUUGCCCUGAUCUGGUGGAUAAAGCUAAUUCAGGAUUCCUUUCAACUACCGUAAUCUCCAAGACUCUGUGAUAUGAAUACUUUUCCCCUAGAAAAAGCAGUCUCAGACCCGUUUUGUUUUCAGGCCCCUUUCCUUCAUUGAGAGAUGCCCCUGAGAUAGUAUUUGAAACCAAAUUGGGGUGAAGAUUGGUGGCCAUAGCUAGGUCCAAGGGUACAGUCUCUCUUAUCAGGCCCUAAUCCGCAGUCACAUUGAUUGUUGCUUAAAAAGGCAGGGUCUGUGGAAUAUUGAAUUUGGGAUUCUGUGUGUUCUGGAGGCAGGAGCUGAAGGUAGUGGGAGCAUCCUCCAAAGCUGAACAGUGGGAGUGUGAGGGGCCCCUAAAUAUCAUGUUGCUUGAGUGGACUAACUGUUGUAACAUAAACCUCUUAAGUAUCAGUGGCUUAAGUCAAUAAAAUGGAGUCACUUAUGUCAAAGUGAUCUAAGAUGGAGCUGGGAUGCCAUUAAAGUGGAGGAACACAUCCACCCCUGAACAUAAACUUUGCAGCAUCAAUUUUGGAUCUGCCAUCCUGAGACCACCUGGAAUUUGUCUUCUUUACUCCCUAGAAACCACAGGUUCGCAACCAGUCCUUGGCCAGCAAGUGACUGAAGGCCUGCGGCACCAAUCAUCACUCUGUAUAGGUUAGGGGACUUCUCUGGACUAUCUUUGUUGCCUUUAUAAGCCCACACUAUUUUCUAUUUCCCUCAGAGCACAUUUGAGUUGCCAUUCCAAUCAGUGCCUCCAAAUUGCAAUUCUAAACACUUGAAAUAAACUUUUUUUCCUCUUA